AUUGAACGCUGGCGGCAGGCCUAACACAUGCAAGUCGAGCGAGCGGCGGACGGGUGAUUAAUGUAUGGGGACUGCCCGAUAGAGGGGGAUAACUACUGGAAACGGUGGCUAAUACCGCAUACUAUCGGAUAACCCAUAUGGGAUUAGCUUGUAGGGGGGGUAAAGGCUCACGUAGGCGACGAUCGAUAGCUGGUCCGAGGGGAUGAUCAGCCAUCCUGGGACUGAGACACGGCCCAGACUCCUACGGAGGCAGCAGUGGGGAAUAUUGCACAAUGGGCGCAAGCCUGAUGCAGCCAUGCCGCGUGUAUGAAGAAGGCCUUAGGGUUGUAAAGUACUUUCAGCGGGGAGGCGUUACCGACAGAAGAAGCACCGGCUAACUCCGUGCCAGCAGCCGCGGUAAUAC
rnacentral:rRNA from 1 species